rnacentral:lncRNA from 1 species
GUUCCAGAUGGGGCAAUUGGAAGAGAAACAUGCUGAAGACAAUAAUAAGAAAGUUCUGGAUUCUCUCAACUGGGAGUCCUGUGUCCUCACCUGUGACUUCCAAAUGCAAUCCUUGUUCAAGUCUUGUGCAAAGCAGCACGCUGUGAGGAAGUUCUUCAUUAUCAGGUGUUCCCUCAUUUGGUCAGGAGUGUUCAACCAAACCGUAGUAGGUCCAUGUCAUGAGGAGUUCAGAGGGAACAUCACAGAGCUCUUUGCUGUUGAGUGGGAGGCCAUGAAGAGUUUGGAGUUUGACUGUGGUGCUGAUACGUAUGAUGGGUUGGUGGAAAGAAGACGAGCCUGUGGGAGAUGCAAUGUGGUGGUGCAUUUCAGGACUGACAAAAAUAACAAGAAGGAACAAAUUGUGCUGAUCAUGGCCUCCUACCUACUGGUCUGCAAAUGGGGCUACGCCAUGCCGAGCUGAUUCUGAGCAC